rnacentral:rRNA from 1 species
CAGCCGCCGCGGUAAUACGUAGGGUGCAAGCGUUAAUCGGAAUUACUGGGCGUAAAGCGUGCGCAGGCGGUUAUAUAAGACAGAUGUGAAAUCCCCGGGCUCAACCUGGGACCUGCAUUUGUGACUGUAUAGCUAGAGUACGGUAGAGGGGGAUGGAAUUCCGCGUGUAGCAGUGAAAUGCGUAGAUAUGCGGAGGAACACCGAUGGCGAAGGCAAUCCCCUGGACCUGUACUGACGCUCAUGCACGAAAGCGUGGGGAGCGAACAGGAUUAGAUACCCGCGUAGUCCCUGUCUCUUAUAC